AUUGAACGCUGGCGGCAUGCCUUACACAUGCAAGUCGAACGGCAGCACGGAGCUUGCUCUGGUGGCGAGUGGCGAACGGGUGAGUAAUAUAUCGGAACGUACCCAAGAGUGGGGGACAACGUAGCGAAAGUUACGCUAAUACCGCAUACGAUCUAAGGAUGAAAGUGGGGGAUCGCAAGACCUCAUGCUCCUGGAGCGGCCGAUAUCUGAUUAGCUAGUUGGUGAGGUAAAGGCUCACCAAGGCAUCGAUCAGUAGCUGGUCUGAGAGGACGACCAGCCACACUGGAACUGAGACACGGUCCAGACUCCUACGGGAGGCAGCAGUGGGGAAUUUUGGACAAUGGGGGCAACCCUGAUCCAGCAAUGCCGCGUGAGUGAAGAAGGCCUUCGGGUUGUAAAGCUCUUUUGUCAGGGAAGAAACGGUGAAGGCUAAUAUCCUUUGCUAAUGACGGUACCUGAAGAAUAAGCACCGGCUAACUACGUGCCAGCCGCCGCGGUAAGAC
rnacentral:rRNA from 1 species